UGAUUUUUGCCAAGCCCUUGCCUGUACCUCUGCCUCCCUACCUGACCUUUUGGAUUUCGACAUCAGACUGCUCUCUGCCUUAGCCUCUGCCUUAGCCCUUGCCUGUACCUCUGACCUUUGCCACUUUUGGACUGUGGCCUCCCACUGUUUUCCCUCUGCCUGAUCCUGUUUUGCCUCUGCCUGAUCCCCAUCAAUACAUCACAGAAGGACCCGGUACCGACAACAGACCAUCCACAAACAGUCUCAGAGGGCACACAGACUUCUCAAAGGAUGGUAUCUGUUGGUACUCAGCUGUCCGGGUACUCUGAGGGAUACUCACCUGAGAAGCUAAGUGUGAGAGACCCUCAAAGGAGAAAGUGUUGCCUGCCUCCUUUUCUGUCAAGGAGCAGCCUGAAGCCAACAUUCCGACCAGCCAGAUCAGGAAAUUCCCUGUGUUUCUGAAA